UCUCCGUUGGUACUUUGGUCACCAAUCUUACUACGGGGUGUCGGGUUGCGCAAGCAACUACAUUGUGGUGGUCAAAUAGGCAGUCGCUCUAUGUAGAACACUGGUACUCGGCUGCAUUCGGUGAGACUGGAAGUAUGCUGGAUGCCGUCCCCAAAACAGUUGGGAAAAGGGUUCAUUCGGCCUCGUGGUUACGAAAGUGGAGCUCUGCAAGGGACCAAAGCGGAAAGAUUGCAGCAUAUACCGUGUGAAACUACAUAAUAACGUCACCAUAAACUUUGAUGUCCAGAUCACUGAGAGCAUGUCGCCGGAUAAGGGAAAAGUAUUGGCGAUAUCCAAAGGCAAGGAAUUUUUGAGGCUACAGAUUAGCAAGCCUUGUGAACAUAUAUUCGUGAAGCCGAUCAUUACAUCUUUGUUCAACAUUACUAAUAACUGCAUUAUUAAAAAGGGUCGAUAUUUGUUUACAAUAAACUUCGAAGAGGUUCUACGGGCGUACUACGGCGGCAUGCAUUUUUAUGGCCUAUAUGCAUUCAAGGCCCUUUUCUAUGGAGACAGCUGCAAUUUAUCCUGCAGUGUCAUCGAAGUCAUGAUAUCUGGAAAUAGUAGCAAAUUAAACUGAGUUUUCAUUUAUAUGUAAA
rnacentral:lncRNA from 1 species